rnacentral:rRNA from 1 species
GACGAACGCUGGCGGCGUGCUUAACACACGCAAGUCGAACGAUGAUGCCCAGCUUGCUGGGCGGAUUAGUGGCGAACGGGUGAGUAACACGUGAGUAACCUGCCCUUGACUUCGGGAUAACUCCGGGAAACCGGGGCUAAUACCGGAUAUGAGCCGCCCUCGCAUGGGGGUGGUUGGAAAGUUUUUCGGUCAGGGAUGGGCUCGCGGCCUAUCAGCUUGUUGGUGGGGUGAUGGCCUACCAAGGCGACGACGGGUAGCCGGCCUGAGAGGGCGACCGGCCACACUGGGACUGAGACACGGCCCAGACUCCUACGGGAGGCAGCAGUGGGGAAUAUUGCACAAUGGGCGAAAGCCUGAUGCAGCGACGCCGCGUGAGGGAUGAAGGCCUUCGGGUUGUAAACCUCUUUCAGCAGGGAAGAAGCGCAAGUGACGGUACCUGCAGAAGAAGCGCCGGCUAACUACGUGCCAGCAGCCGCGGUAAUACGUAGGGCGCAAGCGUUGUCCGGAAUUAUUGGGCGUAAAGAGCUCGUAGGCGGUUUGUCGCGUCUGGUGUGAAAACUCGAGGCUCAACCUCGAGCUUGCAUCGGGUACGGGCAGACUAGAGUGCGGUAGGGGAGACUGGAAUUCCUGGUGUAGCGGUGGAAUGCGCAGAUAUCAGGAGGAACACCGAUGGCGAAGGCAGGUCUCUGGGCCGCAACUGACGCUGAGGAGCGAAAGCAUGGGGAGCGAACAGG